CGAACGCUGGCGGCGUGCCUAAUACAUGCAAGUCGAACGAGAGCGACCGGUGCUUGCACUGGUCAAUCUAGUGGCGAACGGGUGAGUAACACGUGGGUAACCUGCCCAUCAGAGGGGGAUAACAUUCGGAAACGGAUGCUAAAACCGCAUAGGUCCUUUAACCGCAUGGUUGAAGGAGGAAAAGAGGCGCAAGCUUCUGCUGAUGGAUGGACCCGCGGUGCAUUAGCUAGUUGGUGAGGUAACGGCUCACCAAGGCCGUGAUGCAUAGCCGACCUGAGAGGGUGAUCGGCCACAUUGGGACUGAGACACGGCCCAAACUCCUACGGGAGGCAGCAGUAGGGAAUCUUCCGCAAUGGACGCAAGUCUGACGGAGCAACGCCGCGUGAGUGAAGAAGGUUUUCGGAUCGUAAAACUCUGUUGUUAGAGAAGAACAAGUGCUAGAGUAACUGU
rnacentral:rRNA from 1 species